rnacentral:rRNA from 1 species
AUAUCAGUCAGCGGAGGAAAAGAAACCAACAGGGAUUGCCCUAGUAACGGCGAGUGAAGCGGCAAGCAAGCUCAGAUUUGAAAUCUAGCUCUAGUUAUAUAAGGAGCUCGAAUUGUAAUCUGCAGAGAGUACCUCAGGUAAAGCCCACCGCCGAGUUCUCUGGAAUGGGACGCCAUAGAGGGUGAGAGCCCCGUGCGGCGGGCGGGUAAGCCUAUAAAGAGGUCUCUUCAAAGAGUCGCGUAGCUUGGGAAUGCUGCGCAAAGUGGGAGGUAUACCCCUUCUAAAGCUAAAUACUAGCUGGAGACCGAUAGCGCACAAGUAGAGUGAUCGAAAGAUGAAAAGAACCUUGAAAAGGGGGUUAAACAGUACGUGAAAUUGUUGAAAGGGAAGCGCCCGUGGUUAGACUCGUACCCCGUGGAUCAGCCAGCUCUUUCGCUGGGCUAAUUCCUGCGGGGUUCGGGCCAGCAUCGGCUCGUUAUUUCUGGGGUUUAAAGACAGUAGGAAUGUGGCUCCCCCUUUGGGGGAGCGUUAUAGCCUAAUGUGUAAUACCCCGGUGCGGGCCGAGGCCUGCGUUUUUUAUAUGCAAGGAUGCUGGCGUAAUAACCAUCGGCGGCCCGUCUUGAAACACGGACCAAGGAGUCGUCCUCGCAUGCGAGUGUUUGGGUGUUAAAACCCCUACGCGAAAUGAAAGUGAAUGUGGGUGGGAGCUAAUUUUCUUUAGCGCACCACCGACCGAUCCUGAUGUCUUCGGAUGGAUUUGAGUAGGAGCAUGCUGGGCCGGACCCGAAAGAGGGUGAACUAUGCGUAUCUAGGUUGAAGCCGGGGGAAACCCCGGUGGAGGACCGCAGCGGUUCUGACGUGCAAAUCGAUCGUCAAAGACGCGCAUGGGGGCGAAAGACUAAUCGAACCUUCUAGUAGCUGGUUUCCGCCGAAGUUUCCCUCAGGAUAGCAGUGUCGAACUCAGUUUUAUGAGGUAAAGCGAAUGAUUAGGGACUCGGGGGCGAUGUACUGCCUUCAUCCAUUCUCAAACUUUAAAUAUGUAAGAAGCUCUUGUUACUUUAGUGAACGUGGGCGCUCGAAUGUAACGACACUAGUGGGCCAUUUUU